rnacentral:lncRNA from 10 species
AAAGAAGAGAGAGUGUGUGUGCAUGUUUGAAAAUUGCAGUCACUUUUCUUCUACAGCCAGAGGCUAUGAUGUCAGGAAGUAAAUGAUAGAAGAUGUCAGCUCUCCUAUCUAUAACCUCAGCUUUGCAGUUUCUCUGGGGGCCUCAUGCACUCUUACAGCUUCUUAAACAGGAAGUAGACCUGGCAAAAAAUUUAAGUGCGUUUUACACUUGAUAUACCACAGACUCGGCCAGAACAGUUCUAAACAGAAGACUUCACAGAAAUCCUGACACUUUGUUUUUUGCCAAAGAACAGUGUCUUUUUCAGAAAUGCUGAUUUUGGGAUCAUGGACAUUCUCCUUAAUUUCUCCUUAGCAAGUCUGUUGGAAGGAGGAAAUUGGUGCCUUUGAGCAGAUUAUCCCCCCCACACAACAGCGCUUGAUAAGGGACGGUAAGAAGCACAGAGUGUCAUGUACUAGGCAACUUGAUGAAAAGCAGAAGCAAGCAUGAUCUCCUCAAUCAAGCAGCUUUGAGUCUCAUGGGAGAUACAGAUACAAAAUUAUUACAGCACAAGAUGGCAAACUACUUGAGACUGGAAACCAUAUCAUGUUCUUUUAAAUGGACCGUAGUUCUAUCACAGUUUAGUUGAUAUGACUGUACUCCAUAUUUGCCACACAUACUAGCUACACUCCUGAUACUUGCCAAGUAAACAAAACAACUAUUGUUCAUCCUUCAAAAUCUUAUCUAAAGGAAAAAGGAGAAAUGGGAAAAUCAAUGGAAGGAAAAACUGAGCGUGACAUCAGCAAGAUGGCAGAACAGAAAAUUCCCCCAUAUCACUCCCCUCACAAAAAUACAACUGGAAACUGUUCAAAGACAAACAUACCACCCUGAAUUCAUCCAAACUUGGGGGAGAAGUGGAGGAGCCCCCUGGGCCCACAGAACUGAGAGAAGCUGCAACAAAUAGGAGAAAUGGUCAUUUCAGACUGCGCCACCCCUACCCCAAGUCAGCAUAAUGCCACCGACAGAAUUUCCCCAGACCCAGUUUCUGAGGUGAGAGUAGGGAGCUGCAGGUAGACUUUCAAUCUCCCCACUAAUCUGGGAAUCUUCACAGGAAGACUACUCCAUUCUGAUACCACAGGAAACACUGGGGGAGCCAGGAAAGAACCAAACUACUUGGGACAAAGAGUGGGGCACUGACUGCAGCAACUGGCAUGCAGAUCUUGGUAAUUACUCUGCACAUCCACCAGUGGACACACCACACUGAAGAGGCUGGCCAUCACCAUAGUACUGCAGGAGACACAAUCCAUGGGAAGGCCCAGCUGCCUGGCCAGAUUUUCUACAAAGCUCAGGUGUCUGCAAGGAGCCUUCCUUUGACCUGAAAAAACUAAAAGAUCGGGAUUAAGUUCCAGUAUGUGCUUAAGCCUUCCCCAGAGUGGGAAACAAUGGCAGGGCAGUGAUUUAGUUAUAGGGCAGCAUUUAAGUUUCAGUGCCCACUGUAAGUUUUCCCCAGAUUGGGAAACAACAGCAGGGCAAUGAGUUAGUUUCAAUGCAGCAUUUUAGUUCUGGUGCUCACUAUACAUUAUCCCCAGAAUAAGAAGCAACAACAAACUAACAUUUAAAUUCUGAUGCUAAGUAGUAAAGCUCUAGCAUCACCAAAGAACAUCUACAAAAACCAGAAGAGGUGGCUGCUUCCUCAAAUAUGCAGGCAUCAAUGUAAAGAUACAAGGAUUGUAAAAGCUCAGGGAAAUAUAACAACACACAAAAAAAAAGCCCCACAAAGCACUAGCAAUGGAUCCAAAAGAAUUACAGAUCUAUGAAAUGUCUGAUGGAGAAUUCAGAAUAAUCCUCUUAAAGAUGUUCUGAAAAACAAAAAAAAAUAUGCAUGGAAAACCAAUUGAAACACUGAACUGAAAAACUCAUUAGAAAGUUUCAACAGCAGACUUGAUCAAACAGAGAAAAGUAUUUGAAAACUUGAAGUCAGAAUAUAUGAAAUUACCCAAUCAGAGAAACAAAAAGAAAAAAAAUUAAAAAGUGAAGAAGGCCUAUGAGAAUUAUCUCUGCAUAAUAGGAAUUCCUGAAGGAGAUGAGAGAAAAAAUGGCAUAUUAGAAAGCAUAUUUAAAGAAAUAAUGGCUGAGAAUUUCCUAAACCUGGAGAAAGACAACAGCAUCCGGCUAUAGGAAGCUUAGAUAUCACUGAUCAAAUUCCAUUCAAUGAAGUAGUUCCUGAAGGCACAUCAUAAUCAAAUUAGCAAAAAUCAAAGACAAAGAAAUAAUACUCAAAGCUGCAAGAGAAAACAAACAUAUCACAUUCAACAGAGCCCAAAUACAGCUUUCAGUAAUAGUAGAGGACUUCAACACCCCACUUUCAACAACGAACAGAUCAUCCAGAAAGAGAAUCAGCAACGAAACAUUGAAGUUAAACUCUACACUCUAGACCCAACUGGACCUAACAGAAAUUUACAUACACUGCAUCCAACAUCUACAGAAUACACAUUUUUCUCAACAGCACAUGGAACAUUCUCCAGGAUACAUCAUACGGCAAGUCACAAAACAAUCUUAGCAAAUUUUUAAAAAUUGAAAUGAUAUCAAGUAUCUUUUCUGACCAUAAUGAAAUAAAAUCAGAAAUCAAAAACAGAAAGGAUAUUGGGAACUGUACAAAUUCAUGAAAACUAAACAACAUGCUUCUGAACAGAGAAUGGAUCAAAGAAGAAAUUUAAAAGAAAAUAUGAAAUUCCUGAGACAAAUAAAAAUGGAAAUACAAUAUACCAAAGCCUGUGGGAUAGAGGAAAAUCAGUUCUAAAUGGAAUCCGUGUCGCAAUAAAUGCCUGCCUCAAAAAAGUAGAAAGACUUUAAGUAAACAAACACCCUAAUGAUGUACCUCAAGAAACUAGAAAAGUAAGAACAAACCAAGCCUCAAAUUAGCACAGGAAAAGAAAUAAUAAAGAUCAGAGCAUAAAUAAACAAAAUUGUGACUAAAGAAAAACCAUAUAAAAGAUCAACAAAACAAAAAUUUGGGUUUUUUUUUAAUAAAGUUGAUAAAUUUUUAUUUAGACUGAGAAAAAAGAAGCCACAAAUAAAAGCAGAGACAAAAAAGAAGACUUUAUAACUGAUACCACAGACACACAAAGCAUAAUUAGAGACUAUUAUAAACAACUAUACACCAACAAAUUGAAAAAUAUAAAAGAAAUGGAUAAAUGCCUGGACACACACAACUUACCAACAUUGAACCAUGAAGAAAUAGAAUACCUUAACCGACCACAUAGCAAGUAAUAAGAUUGAAGCAGUAAUAAAAAGUCUCCCAUCAGAGAAAAGCUUAAGACCUUAUGACUUCACUGCUGAAUUCUACCGAAUGUUUAAAGAACUAAUGCCAAUUUUACUCAAAGUCUUUUAAAAAUUGAAGAGGACGGAAUACUUUCAUAUUCAUUCUAUAAGGCCAGCAUUACCCUGAUAUCAAAACCAGAGAAGGACAUAAUAAAAAACAAAACUACAGGCCAAUAUGACUGAUGAACAUAGAUGUAAAAUCAUCAACAAAAUACUACCAAACCUAACUCAACAACAUACUGAAACAAUUAUUAAUCAUGAUCAGAUGAGAUUUAUCCCAAGGAUGAAAGGGUAGUUCAACAUAUGCAGAUCAAUAAAUGUGAUACAUCGCAUUAACAGAAUCAAGAACAAAAACCACAUGAUAAUUUCAAUAGAUGCUGAAAAAGCCUUUGAUAAAAUCCAAUAUCCCUUCAUGAUAAAAACUCUCAACAAACUGGGAACAGAAGGAGCAUACCACCAACACAAAAUAUAUGACAAAACCCACAGCUAGUAUUAUACUCAAUGGGGUAAAAAUGAAAGUGUUUUCUCUAAGAUGUGAAACUGGACAACAAUGUCCACUUCUACCACUUUUAUUCAACAUAGUACUGGAAGUCCUAGCCAGGGCAGUUAGGCUAAGUAAGGAAUAAAAGGCAUCCAAAUUGGAAAGAAAGAAGUCAAAUUAUCUUUGUUGGAAGACAGCAUGAUCCUAUAUUUAGAAAAGCCUAAGGAGGCCUGAUGCAGUGGCCCACACCUGUAAUCCCAGCACUUUGGAAGACCGAGGCAGGCAGAUCAGUUGAGGCUAGAAGUCCGAGACUAGCCUGGCUGACAUGGAGAAAUCCUAUCUCUACUAAAAAUACAAAAAAAAAAAAAAAAAAAAAAACCAUAGGCAGGCAUGGUGGCACAUGCCUAUAGUUGCAGCUACUGGGGAGGCUGAGGCAGGAGAAUUUCUUGAACCCAGGAGGUGAAGUUUGCAGUGAGCUGAGAUUGCACAAGUGCUCUCCAGCCUGAGUGACAGAGUGAGAUUCUGGUUCAAAACUACAAAAUAAAAUAAAUUAAGAGCUUAAGGACCCCACCAAAAAAAAUUAUUAGAACCAAUAAAUGAAUUCAGUAAUGUUUCAGUUUACAAAAUCACCAUACAAAACUCAGUAGCAUUUCUAUAAACCAACAGCAAACAACCAGAAUGAAAAUAAAGAAAACAACCCCAUUUACAAUAGCUACAAGAAAAAACCUAGGAAUAAAUUUAACCAAAGAAAUUAAAGAAUCCUACAAUGAAACCUAUAUAACACUGAUGACAAUUGAAAAAGACACAAAUUAAAAGAUAGCUCAUGCUUAAGCACAGGAGGAAUUAAUUUUGUCAGAUGCCCAUACUACCCAAUGCAUUACCUAUCAAAAUACUAAUGACGUUCUUCACAGAAAUAGAAAAGAAAUUCUAAAUUCAUGUGGAACCACAAAAGAACCCAAAUAACCAAAACAAUCUUCAGCAAAAAGAACAAAGAUAAAGGCAUCACGAUACCUGGCUUCAAAACAUACUGCUAAGCUAUAUUAACCAGAACAUCAAGGUAUUGGUAUAAAUACAGACACAAAGACCAAUGGAAUAGAAUAGAAAACACAUAAAUAAAUCUGCACAUUUACAGCCAAUUUAUUUUCAGCGAAGGCACCAAGAACAUAUACUGGGGAAAAUUCAGUCUGUUCAAUAAAUGAUGCUUGGAAAACUGGAUAUCCAUAAGCAGAAGAAUGAAAUUAGACCCCUAUCUCUCACCAUAUUCAAAAAUUAAAUCAAAAUGGAUUAAAGACUCAAAUUUAAGACUCAAAGCUAUGAAACUACUGGAAAAAAAACAUUGGCACAAUACUUCAGGACAUGGUCUGGGCAAAUAUUUCAGGUGUAAGACCUCAAAAACAUAGGCAACCAAAGCAAAACUAGACAAAUGAGAUUACAGCAAGCUAAAAAGCUUAUGCAUAGCAAAGGAAACAAUAAACAGAGUAAAGAAACAACACACAAGAUGGAAGAAAAUAUUUGAAAACUAUCCAUGUGACAAGGGAUUAAUAACCGGAAUACACAAGAAACUCAAAUAACUCAAUGCCAAAACCAAAAUAAUCUCAUUAAAAAUGGGCUAAAGAUCUGAAUAGACAUUUCUCAAAAGAAGACAUACAAAUGGCCAAGAAGUAUAUGUAAAAAUGCUUACCAUCACUAAUUAUCAGGGAAAUGCAAAUGAAAAUCACAAUAAGAUAUUAACUCACCCCAGUUAAAAUGGCUAUUAUCAAAAAGACAAAAAGUAACAGAUGGUGGUGAGGAUGUAGAUAAAGGGGAAUGCUAGUACACUGUUUCUGGAAAUGUAAAUUAGUACAGCCACUAUGAAAAGCAGCAUGGAGGCUGUGAUGGUUAAUAUGAGUGUCAACUUGAUUGGAUUGAAGGAUGCAAAGUAUUGCUCCUGGCUGUGCCUGUGAGGGUGUUGCCAAAGGAGAUUAAUAUUUAAGUCAGUGGACUGGGAAAGGCAGAUCCACCCUCAAUCUGGGUGGGCACAAUGUAAUCAGCUAUCAGUGCAUCCAGAAUAAAAGCAGGCAGAAGCAAGUGGAAAGACUAGACUGACUUAGUCUUCCAUCCUACAUCUUUCUCCCAUGCUGGAUGCUUCCUGCCCUCAAACAUUGGAAUCCAAGUUCUUCAAUUUUGGGACUCUUGGACUUUUGACCACAGACUGAAGGCUGCACUGUUGGCUUCCCUACUUUUGAGGUUUUGGGACUCGGACAGGCUUCCUUGCUCCUCAGCUUGCAGAUGGCCUACUGUGGGGCCAUACCUUGUGAUCAUGUGAGUCAAUACUCCUUAAUAAACUCCCCUUUAUAUAUACAGCUAUCCUAUUAGUUCUAUUCCUCUAGAGAACCCUGACUAAUACAGAGGCUCUUGAACAAACUAAAAAUAGAUCUGUCAUAUGAUCCAAUAAUCCCACUAUUGGGAAUAUAUCCAAAAGAAAGAAAAUCAGUACAUUGAAGAGACAUUUGCAUUUCCAUGUCUAUUGCAGUGCUAUUCACAAUAGCAAAGAUAUGGAAUCAAUCUAAGUGACCACCAAUAGAUGAAUGGAUAAAGAAAAGUGAUAUACAUACACACACACAAAAUGGAAUAUUAUUCAGCCAUAAAAAAUAAUGAAAUUCUGUCAUUUGCAGCAACAUGAAUGAAAUUAGAGGACAUUAUGUUAAGUGAAAUAAGCCAAUCUCAGAAAGGCAAAUAUUGCAUGUUUUAUGUUCUUACUUAUAUGGGGGAGCUAAAAAAGUUGAUCUCAUGGAUGUAGAGAGUAGAAUGAUGGUUACCAGAGGCUAGGAAGAGUAGAGGGAAGCAAGGAAUGAUGACAGUUUGGUUAAUGGGUACAAAAUAGAGGGAAUAAGUUCUAGUGUUUGAAAGCACUAGGGUGACUAUAGUUAAAAAUAAUUUACUGUAUAUUUUACAAUAGUUAGAAGAGAAGAUGUAAAAUGUUUCAAGUACAAAGAGAUGACAAAUGCUUUAGGUGAUUACCAUUAAUUAUUCUGAUUUAAUCAUAUUCUAUGCGGGUAUUAAUUAUCACAGGUACUCCAUAAAUAUGUACAAUUAUUAAGCAUCAAUUUAAAAAGAAAAAAAUGGAUGGAUGGCCUGAAUGGUAUAGAGGACAUUCCUUCACAGAUACAUAAACUUUAUCCCUAUGUUAAAAAGGGCAUCUAUACAUG